CGUCCAUGGUUUGUCGGGAGGGAGAAUCAGUUUCCUUAGUCGUGUGGCUCCUGGUAGCUCCACCAUGCUCCAGGGAACGGCCACAAAUGGGAUCUAAUGGCUUGUUUGAAGAAUAAAACAAAUGGAAGACCAGGACAGGUGUGUGAUGGCACCUCCCCACUGAAACUGCUGCCACAUGGAAGAUUGUUCUACAGAAUCGUCACCAAAUGCACAGGCUGAGUGUUCUACAGCAUCGUUACAAAAAUACACAAGGGUGAGAACAGA